GGAGUUCCCGUCAUGACACAAAAACGCCCAUCAGGCGUUCCCGUCAUGACACAAAAACGCCCAUCAGGCGUUCCUGUAGCGUUUCAUCGAUCAAUCAAGAAGAGUACCCUGGCACAUGCUUUGUCCAAUGGACCAUGGAAGGGACUUUACUUGGCUGACGAGUACGCAAUGUAUUCUACCCUCAAAAGCAAUAUGAUUUCAGUGAGGGGGACAUGCUCUCUAUCAGGAGGUGGUGGUUGGACAGCUGUUGGAGACCUUUAUGCUUGAAAGCCCUGCAGAACUAGCUGGCUCCUUCUCACCCUCUCCAUCUCCCCAUCUCAGUCACACCUUCCAAUCACUAAGCAGUGAAAGCCCUGCAGGACUAGCUGGCACACCAAGCUCACCCUCUCCAUCUCCCCAUCUCAGCCACACGCUCCAAUCUGGCACAACAGAGGACAGGCCAUUCUUACCACCCGAAGUCCUUCAGCAAAUUGUACAAGAGACGCUGAGACUGGACAUGGCGAUGCUUGGCGUGUUCAACAGGGUUUCAAACACAUUCCGAGAACUAAUCAAGCCUCUCCAUCCUUCCAUAUAUAUAAAUGACAGUUUGGCAGGGGACAUUAAGCUUAAUAAAGACAAUCUCGUAUAAAUAACGGUUAGAAAGAUUUACAACAAUGCAGGCUGUGGCAGUGGCCUUGCGCUACGCCUCAAAGGCUUCUCAAAAAAGAAGAAUUGGCCAAGCGCACCCCUGGUACUGAGGCACGUUGCAUA